rnacentral:rRNA from 1 species
UACGUAGGGGGCAAGCGUUGUCCGGAUUUAUUGGGCGUAAAGAGCGUGUAGGCGGCCUUACAGGUCAGCUGUGAAAACUCGAGGCUCAACCUCGAGCUGUCGGUGGAAACCACAUGGCUAGAGUCCGGAAGAGGAGAGUGGAAUUCCUGGUGUAGCGGUGAAAUGCGCAGAUAUCAGGAAGAACACCAAUGGCGAAGGCAGCUCUCUGGGACGGUACUGACACUGAGACGCGAAAGCGUGGGGAGCGAACAGG